UCCCAGGUGGCUCAGUGGUAAAGAAUCUGCCUGCCAAGCAGGACACACAGGAAAUGCUGGUUCAAUCCUUGACUUGGGAA
rfam:TPA: Bos taurus chromosome 18, whole genome shotgun sequence.